CAAAUCCAUCCACGUCUCAUACCCGAGACCACGUUGAAAUGUUCCCCAGACCAGGGCGCACGCCGUUCCCACGCUUUCAGACUCCUCGGAGCCUGCCUGCUGGGACGCUGCCGAGCCCUGGACUGGGCUGUUAAACUAGUGUUACGUUGUUGCUCAAAUGUAUCUUGAUUUCAAUCAAACGAAAACUUGUA
rnacentral:misc_RNA from 1 species